CCCUUAUCUGCUAAGGGUAAGUGCACUUUCGGACACCUCGGGGCAGAACGAUAUUUGCAGUGCUUCGUGUGUAGUUUUCUGUGGGCACCCAUGGAGGUAGGUGGUUGGCACUAUUCAACUGUUCCGGCUGUUGACAAUUCACAUGGAUAAUUAAGCCUUCAAAACUCCAUUUCGCUUGUCUCACAGAGUCCCCUGUUGUCCUCUCAAAGUCUGAACCACAUCUCUCCUUCCUUGACUUAUUCUCUGUAUCCUUCUUCCUCAAUCCCUCUCUCCUCCCUUCUCACAGCCUCCCUUGCUCCUUCUCCCUCUCAGCGCUUUUCUGUUUCUUCUCUUUCUCUCCUUCUGCUCUUCAUUCGCCUUUUUCUCUUCCUCCCUCCUUCUGCAACCUUCGCCCGCCUUUGCAAGAUCAUGCUUCUCUUUCCCCGUCGGCAGAAACCUACAUAUGUAGCAUCUCGUCUUUGUCCGCUGCUGCCCCACAGGUGAAGUCACGGAGUUUCUCUGAGGUGUGCCUCCGACACCUGUCAGCUCUUUAGGACCUCAGAUCUGGAGAUACAGUGAUGCCUGUUUAAGGAAUAACUGGCAAGAACUCAACAGCUUGCCGAAGAGCUCUCUUGAAGAGAAUGCAGUUGAUGGUGUGCAGAAGCCCGCGAGGUUGUAGAAUUCCCAACUAGCGUCCCAAACUGUUGGGCCGACAUAAGGACAAUCAGAGAAGUCUGAUUUAAAGUCAGCAAAGUAAAAACACAGUAUUGGAUCUGGGAAGAGUUGAUGAUAGCUCAACUAAGCAUUACAAAGUGGGUUUGAAACUUCCUGUGGGAGCCCUGGGUUGGCCUGUCUUCCCACUCCAUGGACUGUGUGCCAGCAAAUACAUCUCCUUUUCAUUUGUCAGCAUCCUGCUUCUUGUUAGAGACUGGGAUUCCCGGCAGUGGGAGAGACCAGCGCUAUGCACAUCCUGUGCUCCCGCACCGUCUCUGCACACGUGCUUCGGAGAUGCCGCUUGUUGUCCCAGCUACCUGGGCGGUGGCUGGGUCCGUUGCAGGGGCAGGUGGUGCCUGAGGACAAGUCCCUGUCUUUCCCUGAGGCAGUUCCCCCAUGAUGUCUCCCUCCCUUCCCCCCCACCCCAUAUUCUUUGUUUUGGACCAUUUCCUUUCUCCCUGAGCUUGCGUGGGCGACCACCCCUUUCAUAGAACCAAAUAGUUAAGCUUUAGGGGGUUCUGUUCCUCUUGCAGGGGAGUGGUACUGGGGGAGCCAGCUGGGAGGGGACAUGAAGGAAUGCUGGAAAUGAUCUCUAUUUCGGUCUGAGUGGUAGUUAAGUGAGGGUGUGCAUAUGUAAAUAGUCAUUGAGCUAUACAUUUAAGAUUGUAUACUUCAGUGCAUGUAGGUUAUGCCAUAAAACAAAAAGUAGAGGAAAUCUAGAACUGGCAGAUCUGGGUUUGAAUCCCCUUAUGGUUGUGUGACCCCUGACUCUUGCCAAGCCUACAUUUACCCCUGUAAACAAACAUAGAUACGGUACCUGUCACAUUGGUAGCUGAGCACAUGAUGGGAAAUAAAACACACUCAGCAGCAUGUAAAGUGCUUGGUACAGGAUUAGUGCUCAAUAACGGAUUACAAAUAUCAUCAUGGUUGGAGAAAAUUAUUCUCCAAACAUGAUAACACAUGCAAACGUUUUGGGUUAACACGUCUCCCGACAUGUUGGAGCAUCUGAACACCAUCUUUCAAGGCCUUAACUCAAAGGUGAGACUACAAGUGGGAAUUUUAGGCACCGAGGCAGGCUAACAGAAGAAAAUUCUUGGGCAAGGAGCCCGAACGUGCUCUUUAAACCACACCAGCAGGGCAGCCCCAGUCACCUGGCCGGACCGCACAGGCCUUACCUGUGUAUCACACCCAUUACAGCCACGUGUCUUGAGUCCUGGGGGCAAAUUCUGAUGAACUCAUUUCUGGCAAAUAAACUCCACUCAUAUGCAAAAUGUAAACGUCUGAUCUAUGCACGCUGACACCAAUGCUGAGAAACGCAGCUAUGACUAAUAGCGUUAUUUCCGCUCAGCCCUGGAAAAUCGGAGCCUUCCUGAUUCUUUUUCUGCCAUUAUUAAAAUCUGUUUUACUAUGACCAGGAAAUUGAGGAGACCCCUGGUAUUUAUUGCUGACCUCUACUUUGCUUGAAACUACUUAGACAUCCAUAGAACUACAGAGUUCUAGAGCCCUGGGAAGUCUUUAGCGUUAGCUUCAUCGCUUUACAGAUGAAGCAGGAGGAGAAGUAACUUGCACGAAGUUCAUUCAUCUUCAAUAAGGAUUUAUUCAGUGACCGUGUGCCAGGAUUUGCGGUAGAGACCGGAUUACAUAAGCUGGCGUGGAAAAUUUCUUCUAGCUGUCUUCCAGAGCUCUCCCGAGCCAGACUGUAACUCAGAUCAGUGCUGCCUGAGAUGCAUUGGUGCUUCGGUAGAACAGUAACCUAGACUCCAGGCUAAGUUAAAUCAUCAAGGGAGAAGCGGGGUCACUGCCAGCUGGCAUUGCAGACCACACAGGCUUUUUUGUACACAGGUAAGUGUCUAUGGCCUGAGCGGGGUAGGGGGACGCCCUAUUCACGGUUGCUUCCCUGCCUCCCUCUCAUCACAGAGCUCUUUGGGGCAUCGCCUUUGUUUCUUGACUUCCUGAGGUUUAGGUUACUCUGUAUAGUCAUUCCAUUUGGAGGUCACCCACCUAAAUGUGCCAGAAAGAGAAACGGAAUACACAAGGGGACCGGCCCCAGUCUCCACACUCCCUGCACCAUGGCCCUGAAGCAUUGACUGUGGGGCAUCAAACCUCAUGCCUUUAGACAAGUAACCUAAGCUAGUGAAGGGCAGGUACACGGCACCAGCAUGUCAAGGGCUGUGGCAAACCGGAGAGAAUGCAUGCUGCCUAGAGGGACAGUCUGUCACCACUCGGCUCAGAAGGCUUUUCCAUGGAAAUUACAGACUCAGCAUUGUCACAUCUUCAGAUUUUUCAAGAUAAGUCAGGAAUUUUGAUGUUUCCCAGGUUUUUGAAAUCAUCCUGUGGAUCAAAUAAAAACAAGUAGUUGGCUUCUGGGACAGGCAGGAGGCAAAAGAAGAGGACCCUGGAAAACCUAAUAUGGAGUUCAGACUUGAUCCUACAACGCAGGGAUGCAAAAUGGUACAGCCCAUUUGGAACACAGCUUGGUAGUUACUUAUAAAGUUAAAUACCCGUUUGUCAUAUAGCCCAGAAAUGCCACUCCCAGGUAUUUACCCAAACAGAAUGAAAACUUACUUUCACACGCACACACAAAACUGAGUUUUUAUACCAGCUUUUUCUUAUUCACAAGGAAAGAUCUGUUCUAUAUUUUGAAUGCUGUGGUGGUUACAUCACUAGGUGCGUUUGUCAAAAUCUCGCAUUCAAAAGAGUGAUUUUUACUGUAUGGAAAUGACUCUUUAGUUCAAAGAACUACGGGAAACCAUUGGAGGGUUUUCAGCAGGAGAGAAACACUGUCAGCUCUGUGUUUCCGAAGGGUCACUCUGAUGGGGGGGGGGGGGGGGACGGCAAGAAUGGAAAUGGGAGCCACCGAGAGGUGGAUAGCAGUGGACUACAUGAGAGGUGACAGCAGCUUGGACAGUGCUGACAAAAGUAGGGGUAGAAGAAAGUGAGGAUUUGAGACUCACUUAGAAAACAGAAUCAGCAGGGCCCAGUAAUUCAUUAGAUAUGGGGAAUGGGAAAGAGGGAGGUGUCAAGAAUAAUGCUGGGGAAUAUGGCUUAGGGGCAACUGCAUGGACAGAGGUAUCAUUUGCCAUAAAUGAGUAGGACUUUUGGGGAGGAGGGGCCCGCCCUGGGAAGCACAUGGUGCAAGGACAUAGGAGAUGACAGUGCACUGUCUACACUGGGAGUAUGCUUCAUGUUUUCAUUUGUGUGGUGAGUUUGUUCUGUUUUAUUUUAGCCAGGUAACCUCAGUGCCUUCUUCUCGAGUCCUCUUCGCAGCCAUGACCCAAAAUCAUCUUGAGAGUUACCUUUGAGACUUAAUGUUCUGUAGCGUCCGAAUACUUUCAACUUGGUGCUGCCAUUUGGCUGGUUAAGACAUUGUGUCUAUUCAAUUUAUGUAGGUACAGCUAUAUGAUCAAGAUAGUUAUUAGAUUAGAUGGCGGAACAUUCCGCAUUCGGGCUAUCAUUUCCAAGGCAAUGAGAGAUAUAGCAAAAAAAAAAUUUUUUUUUCAAAGAAAAAUUGGUAUGCAAGUCCUAGAAUAGACAGCACUGUCUCCCUCAUAGAAUCUUUAGCACCUGCACAUGAAUGUGGCUUGGGUGGUUUGGCCUGGACAGAAGAACAAUGGGCUUCCCCAUUCUCCUUCGCUUGGUCAGCCCCUUCCGUUCCCUGGCCUAGAUAAAGCUCGAGUUUGUAUCUCCGGCCAAACCACCUUCUGCUGUUUUCACGUGGCCCCAAUUCCGUGUGGUCUGGCCUGGCAAGGAGAAACCUAAUCUGAAUUAGUGUGGUUCAUGGUCUGGAGAUGGUAGGUUUCUUUCAGAACCUUCAAAACUCCCAAUGAAUGUUAUAUCAUCGAUCCCAAAACAUUCUUGUGAUGGUAAUUGCAAAUUCUUGCCUGUAUUUAUGAUAGGGAAGCUGGAAUAAAGGACAUUCAUCCCAGACAAAUCAGCUUAGAUUCUAAAUGGCAGAGUAUUGGUUCCUUACUCUUCCUAAAACAUCUUACCCUUGCGUUAGAGACGUGUUGCAACUUUAUGGGCUUUCUAAACGUCAGAUUCAGUGAAACUGCUUCUUAACGGGUGGGUUUAUGAGAUGGUUUUGAUGUUCUUUAUGACCAUCCAUGUUUUCUGGUUUUCCUGUAAUAAGCAUGUGCUACCUUUAUAAUUGGGAAGAACAUGAAAGGAACUUAUUAAACACAGUGUGCACAGUAUGAAACUGUUUUUAAAGAAGAAUGUACAUACGAGAUUAUACAUCCAAAUGUUGAUAGCACUCAUCCUGUCUGGGAAUAUGGGCAAUUUUUCUGUUUUUCCUAGUGCUUUGUAUUUUUCCUCUUUUUUUUUUCCUAAGAAUCCACAUUACUUCUGUAAUCAGAAAAAAAAAAAAAACCUAUUCUUUAAAAAAACGUCAUGCAGGGGUACCUGGGUGGCUCAGUGAGUUAAGCGUUUGACUUCAGCUCAGGUCAUGAUCUCCCAGUUCAUGAGUCUGAGCCCCUCACUGGGCUCUGUGCUAACAGCUCAGAGCCUGGAGCCUGCUUCCAAUUCUGUGGCUUUGCUCUCUCUGCCCCUCCUUUGCUCACACUCUGUCUCUCUCUCAAAAAUAAACAUAAAAAAAAUGCCAUGCAGCCUUCUUCUCCUCAGUUAAUGCAGUAGGAACCGUGAGGAUGAGGAAAUCGGGCUUUCAGUUCUGACUGGAAAGUACCUAGCUUAGUGACUCGAGGCAAGAUUCAUCCAGUGCAAUGACCCCUUUCCAUGGCUUUAAAGAGAGUCAUAAUAUUAGUGCAGCCUCCCUCCCUCCCAUCAGUCAGGUCCCAGUGAGCUGAUGCAUGUGGGGGCACUUGGAAGGAAGAUGCUGAGCUGGGUGCCAUUGUUGGUCCUGCUGGCCCACAGAUACUGUGUUCAAUAUUACUACGGGAGCAUGUUGUAAUUCAGAGGCACAUUAUUUUUAUUUUGAGGGAAAUGGCUAAAUCAGUUAUUAAACCAAUCUCCUAUACUUUGGCACUUCUUGCACCGGCUGAUGUCAUGGCAGAGUGGAAAGCGGAGGAGGUUUGUCCCUAUGUGCCUGGGCGUCCUGCUGCCAUCCAGGGUCAGGGCAGAGGGAUCUGGCCAAGAGCCCGUGGGGUGCGGGAAGCCAGGGUGCCGCCAGCUCUAGGACAGGGCUGGCCCCCCAUUGGCCGGGCAGAAGCCCAGCUUGAACAAGGAUUCUAGGAAAGCCGCAGAAGCUGCCCCUCUGAGUCUUGUUGGCUGCCAUGCCUGAAUCUUCCACAGACAGUCAGACCCUCUGACCAGCGAAGCCCAACUCUUGGCUGCACGCUGAUAGAAAAUCUAUGGCUGAGUAAGACGGCUCCAUCAAGAGAUGGAGAACUAAAACAUUGUUCUCUUCCAGUUAAAAGUCAUGUAAUUAGCAGUGUUCAGUCAUAUAGUUUUAUGGCCACAAUGAUUCACACAGAUUCUCUAGAAGAAGGAAGAAAAAUGACCUGGAAAGAACAGCUUAUAGAUCAACCUGUUCAAAUAGAAGAGAUUUCAUAUAUAUGAUUGGCAAGAUUUAUAUUUCUUCAAAUCUGUAGUUUUACUGAGCGUUUAAAAAUAUAUUCUCUUGGGGCACCUGGGUGGCCCAGUUCGUUAAGCAUUUGACUCUUGUUUUGGGCUCAGGUCAUGAUCGUGUGGUUCAUGGGUUUGAGCCCUGUGUUGGGCUCUGCCCUGGAGGUGUGGAGCCUGCUUGGGAUUCUCUCUCUUUCACUCCCUCUCUGCCUUUCCCUGUUCGUUCUCUACCCCCCCCCCCCCCGUCUAUCUCAAAAUAAAUAAACUUUAAAAAAUAUUCUCUUGAUAUUUCUCUCUGUCUCCCCAGGGAUAUAAAUAGGAAUUACAUAGUCUGAGAAUUCAACUGAUUUCAAGUUUCUUCUGCAGCCAAGCACUAGUGAAAGAGGGGAACACUGUUUUCAAAAGCUUAUAUUAUGAUGCCCCUUUUGUUAAGACUUCUUUAUUGUUAAAUGAUUGGUGGAUCUAAGGGUCCUUGAAUUGCUUUUCUGUAUUAUACCUGGUUUAUUAUUCCAUAUCCCUAAAAGAAAAACAAGCAUUUCCCACACUUUCCAAGUAAUUUUAGGAAUUAUCCUAUGGUUAGAAAAGACAAACAAAGCUUAAGCUUUUGAAUAUUAAAACUGAAUGUUGGAAAACAGCUUGAGGUAAUUUGAUUGCUUAAAUUUAAUCGAUUACUUACUUUAAUUACAGUGUUCUCCUUUUAAAAAUCAGUGUGACUGAGAAGGACUGCAUUUAAGGCAGCCCAGAGAGGUGGCCAGCUCUCUUACUUCUGUAGCACGAUAUGAAUGAGGAUGGUCCUAUAGACUCAGGCUCCAAAGCUGAGGGCAGAGGGUGCUAGAGUAUCAGUAAGACUUGCUAAGAACUUGGAACGAGUUUUGCCCCCUAUAGCAUAUCACCCACCCUCACCUACACACAAAAAAGGCAACAGCAAUGCUGUGAGGUUAGUGAGAGAGGAUUCCCCUGAACAGAAUAUUUCCGCCCCUCUUCCUACUCAAAUCGAGUGUGUGAUAGGAGCUGGGAAAGGGUUGAAGAUAUGGGAUGUUGACUACUCACCUCCAAACUAGUUGCUUACAUAACUACAGAAACCCAAGAUGGCCAUGGAUUCAGAGAGAACUCUCAGGGAAGUUUGACAAGUGUUGUCUAGAGUUGGCAGGGCACAGAGCCUGCAGUCUGAAGGGGAAAUAUUGACAGACUUGUCCCCAGUGUAGGGUGAAGAGAGAGGCCAAAGGGACAGCAAAUAACACUUCCAUCUGUUGCAGGCAGGGGUGGGUGUCACCCUGUCCUCUGUGGGGCAGGGAGGACACCUCAGAUGAAAGCCAGGCUCUGGUUGCCUUGAAAGGACCCCACCCAAAGGGUCUGCCCGUGGGGACUAGACAAACCGACAGAGACUGAUGGGUCAGCUGUCCUAUAGGAGCUAAGGGGAUCGUGAGUGGUCAGCCAGGGGAUGUUACUCUCUUCAGGGAGAUGUCUCCAGCAAGGAGGUCUCCAAAAACCAACAAAAGUGAUGUAAGAAAGAAAAGGCCAUGGUUUGUCAAGUAGUGGACACCAUGACCAUAUUGCUCCAAUGCUGGUCAAAUACAGCUUUUUCCCUCUCUGCCCCUCCUCCUUCUCCUUGCCCUAGUUCUGGAGUAGUUAGAAGCAGCAGAGUAAGUUGAGGAGAGGGUGUUUUAGGGUAAGUAAGGAACUGGUCCAUACCCACCUCCCUUCCUUAAUUCAAGUAUUUGAGUUUGGGUCAGGCCUGAACGGGGGAGGAGGUGCGCUUUGAAAAUAUACAGGAGAUUGAAGGUUUGUGUUAAAUGAACUGGAUUUUUUACUAUUUGAAAAUGAGAAAUCCUUGAUAUCUGACCGACUGAAAAAGAUAAGGGGUCUGUCUGAGGUACCACUAAGCUAUGAGGAAGAGAGAUCCAGCAGAGGCAGUGGGUGGGAUAAAACUGAGUUUGUUCCAUGACGCUCUAUCCCCUCAAUAGUUCACUUAUCUGAGCAAGGAUUCCAGAGAAAGGUGUCUUUGCGCACUGCAUGCGGUCUUGGUACUCGGCGUGUAAAAAUAGUCGCUUUAUUUCUGUAACACACCUGAGCAGACCUCUAUCUUUGAUAACCCGAUCUAGCCUAUCUCUGGAGUUGAAGAGCUCCUGUCUUCUGCUCACUCUGCAGAGAUUUUGAUGGGAAGAGCUGUGUAGGUAGUCAGCUUAAGAACAUAGAAUCCAGAGGGGCGUGCUUGAAUGUAGGAUAUGCAUUUUCUAGUCAGCGAGCAAAUCACUUAACCUUUUUAAGCCUCAGUUCCUAACUCUGUAAAAUAAGAAUAGUGAUGCUUGACCAUAAAUCUCACAGAAUUGCUAUGAGGAGCGAAUCAGAGAGUGGACAGGUUAGAUUUAUGUGGACCGGACUCUGGAAUGAGUUCCUAAAAUGACCCCAGUUUCAGGAGCUGCAGAAGCUUUGACGCUAAGUGAUUGACAUAUCCCAGAGGGCACCCCAUGGUUGAUGAACUGUUUUUCUUCCCUUUAUUGAAUAUCGCAAUGUAAAGUCUGUGGCAGAAUAGGUCAAAAUAUCGGUUAUGACUUAAUUAACUUAAAUAUGUGUCUAUAUGACAUUUAGGUUAGUAUGAUGAUUAUCCCUAUGGGCUUAUUUGUUUUUAUAGCUAUGCACACUUUUCAUUCUUGAGAACCCCAAGGAACAAAAUGUUAUUGGCAUCCUCUCCAGCAACAAAGAACAGCUGCAUCUGUUUGGGACAUUUCCCAGGCCGCUCCUUCCUCCAUGUGUGAAGGAUACCGUUGAUCUGUUGACCCAGCCCUGAAGAGGGAGUUUGGAUUCUCACCAGCCUUCUUUGCCAGCACUCAGGCAGCUGCUGGGUAUGCCAGGUGGGUACUCUACUGGCUUUUACAACCCACGGCGGUGGCCCUAGGUGAAGGGAGUUCCACCUGCCCUGGGCCUUUCCUCUAAAGGACACAGGGGUGACACGGAGCCACAGUGGAGGGAAGUCCUGGAAUAUCCCUGCUUCUACAAGCACUGAUCUCAUUCUGACAACCGCCGCCAUAUAUAAAAGGAUCAGACUGUUAAAGCCGGAAGAGUCUUCAGAGACUUGAGUGGGUCUCCACUCUGGCUGCCUGCUAGGAUCUCCUGAGGUGAUUUUGAAAAAACUUGAUGCCCUACUCAGCCUCGAUUCUGAUACUCUGAUUUAAUUGAAUUGGAACAGGGUUCUGGCAGUUGGUGCUUUAUGGACUCUCUCCAGGGUUGAGAACCAUUAACAUCAGGACUGGAACAACUGUCUCAAUUCUUUAUUCAGAUAACUGAAGAUAACAUGGCUUUGGACUUAGACAUCUUUGAAUUUUGAAUUCUGCCUCAUUUACUCAUUAAUGAAGGCCUUGAACAAACUCUUGAAAUUCUCAAUUUCCUUGCUCAUAAAGGGGAAAAAUAACACUCAGAACGUUUUGGGAGAAAUUAAGUGUGAAGGCUUAUGUCUGUUUUCUGCACUCAUUGUAAGCAACUUGAAGAUAGAGACCAUCUGAUAAUAAAAAUAACAUUUAAUUGAGCAACUCCUAUUUGUCAGGCAUGGCAAGUACAACAUUUAAAUUAUCUCACUUAAGACUCACAAAACAACUGUAUAUAAGUUAAAGAACAAUUGCAUGCAAUGAAGCAAAUAAGACAAAGAUAAGUUAACUGUGUAUGCCCAGGAUCUCACAGGCUACAGCAAAGCCACGGUUUGAACUCAGAUCUUUCUGACUCCAGAGUUUGUCGUCUUAAUCAAUGCACUGUAAUCUGUAAUAUCUCCCUAGCCUGUGCUAAGUGUUGUUUCCCUUUCCUGUAGCACAGUGCCUGCCACAUGGAAGGUAUUCAAUAAAUAUACAAUAAAUGGAUAAAAAUUAAAAUAUGUAAAUGAGUAAGUACCUAGCUCAUGGUAGAUAAUCAGUUAAUGUUAUUACUCUGUUGAUCAGUCUUCUCUGCUAACACUAUCAGAUAAAAAGGUUUUACCUUCGACAGAAGCUAUAAGCAAUAAGAAAAAUUAUAAUGUGCCUUCUGUUAUUGCCAUGACAAAAUGAGAAAGUAGACUAGCAACAGAUCAAUCCCAUUCUUUCGUAUACUGUUAGGCAGGAUAUGAUUUUAACUUGGAGCAUGUUGAUAGCUCAGAUCAGAAAAGCAAACAUCAAUUCACGUGAGUUUUAGAGUCCCAUUAAUCCUCCAAAUUGUUAUUUGGACACUAGCUGUCAGCAUAUUUUAUGUAGUUCCUACAUGUAUUCUGAACACAGCUGUGCUAAAACUCUGAGGGCUUAUUUUAACACAUGAGAGCAGCUUGGAAUAGUCGGAAAUGCAUGAUAUGUGGAGUCAGCAAGCCUGAGUUCAGGUUUUGGCCAUCCACUUACCAGCUGUGAAGCUUUAAGCCCAAGCAUCUCAAAUGAAAUAUUCAUGCCCUAGAGGUUUGGGACAUUAUGCUGGAAGGUCUCAGAGAUUCAGGAUAAACACAAUGCAUUAAUUCAUUUAUUAAGCAAAUAUUUAUUGAAUGCCAGGCAUUGUAUUUCAAGUGAAAUGAACAGGACAGAUAAGGUCCCCGUUCUCACGAAGCCUUAGAUUCUUCAGAAAGACAUCAUUUCAGAUACAGAUUAAUUUUAUUAAAAAAAAAAAAAGAUAACGUGAAGUUAUUUUUUAAAGGCCUGGUAACAAAUUUAUUUUGAAAGGCUUGGAAAUGGAUUAUUAUUAGUUGCCCACCCAGAAUCCAUUUUCCCCUUGCUAAUGGCCUACUGUUUUCAAUUAGGUUUCUACUGUUGUCACGCACCACCCAUGAGAUGGGCACUGGUUGGCUUAGGCCAAAUAUACUAAACUCCUAUUGGUUUAGAGGUAGCCAUGUAAUCUCAACAGUCCAAUCAGCGCUGAUCUUGGGGCUCUGGCAUGCAGUCAUGGUACCGAAGUUGUUUUAAUUGCUUUUCCUCUCAGAACCAGAGGAUAAAGAUGGAAAGACAAGAACUGCUGGGGCCAUUUUGCUGCUAGGAUGGAAAGAGCUCAAGGAGGAAGCCAAUGCGAAGAGAAGUGUGCAGCUAAGUGGAUCCCAGUCUGAGGUGAGCUGACUCUGAGGUUUGCCUCAUCACCGAAUUUCAAUUUAUAAAAGCUAUUAGAUCCCUUCAUUGCUUAUGCUGAUUUGAGCAAACUCUUCUGUUUCUUGCACCAGAGAAUUCAUAACUGAUACAGAAAUUUGGUUCCAGGAGUGGGGUACAGUAAAAUACAAACCCUAAAAUGUGGAUUUGGCUGAGCAGAGGUGAUGAGGUAAGCAGCAGUGACCUGUUGAGAGUCAGGCCUGAACCUACAAGGCACAUAAGGGGAAAUAGUAGGAAAUAUCCAGGGUUUUUGAUUACAGAAAGGUCCUACAAUAAAGAAAAAUCUGACAUGUGACCUGAGUGGCUCAGUUGGCUGAGAGUCUGACUCUUGAUUUUGGCUCAGGUCAUGAUCCCAGGGUCAUGGGAUUGAACCUAGCAUUGGGCUCUGUGCUGAGCGUGUAGCCUACUUAAGAUUCUCUCUCUCCCUCUCUCUCUUUCUCUCUCUCUCCCUCUACCCCUCUCCCCUGCUUGCAUGCUCACUCACUCUCUCUCUCCCCUCUAAAAAUAAAUAAAUAAUAACAUAAUAAAAAAUAAAGAAAUGACCUUAAGAUGAAGUGACCCAUCUGAAGGCAGAGAAGGAAGGGUAUAUGAUUUUGCUUAGAAAUUCCCUUUUUGGGUAUGGACUGAAAUCAAGAUGACUGAAAUCUAGCAGCGUUGCAAAGACCAAAUACUCUACUCCAAGUGAAGUAAAGAUAGGAGGUAAGACUAGGGCAAAAGACAAGCCUGACUCUUUAGACCACUCCCCAAAGCUUCCUACAAAACAGUAUUCACCUGACAAGGCAGAUAAGAGCAGCUAUGAUGGAACAAAUCAUUCCACAGCAAGUUAUGGUCAGAAACUGUCCAGAAGCAGAAGCCAACCCAAAAGUAGCAGCCAUUACACUAAGGCUUUAGGGGAUGGUCAUACAACAAAGGCUUAUUGUUAGACAGUCUAAAGUCCUAGACUUAAAUACAAUGACUAGAGGCUGGCUGUCUGUUUAUGGUUCUUAGCCUAUGUCAAAAUCUCUUGACGAUAACUAAGUUUGUAAAGGAGUUAUAUUGCCAAAGAAAUCCCAAUCCUGGACAACCACAGUCCAUGACUGUUCAACUCCUAAGACACUCUCAGGCUCUUUGAAGUCACACACAGAAAAGGGGAUGCUAAAAUUAUGUAGCUCCUAGAAAGGGAAACAUCUCUAGCUAUUUCAAUGAACAAAAAGCCUCCAGGAGAAGAAAACCAGAGGCUGCCAAAUUGAUUAAUCUAUUCCUCUCAGAGCAUUUUCAGAUGAUGAGGCUGAGAAGAAAAAAGCAAACCCUUUGUACAGCAUUUCUAAGCCAGAGUUCUGAGAUUCACCCUGAUUAGACAAUUUACGUCAUGUUCACCUUCAAGUCACAUAGUCACCCCAGGAGAAUUAUGUUUUAUGUGUAUUGUUGUUCAGGAUGUGUCUGUGUUCAUGUGUGUGUAUGUUUUCCCAAUUCUCCUCUUUUAUAAUAGAGAUUUCUUCCAUUGUGGUCAUCCCUGGUCUUUCUCUGCUGUUAUGUACUGGAUUUGUUGGUGAUUGAUAAAUCUGUCUUAUGCAUGCUUUAACCAACCAUGAAGAGCGACAUCCAGACUGAAAGAAGUCCUGGACUUGGAACUAGAUGCAGUAAUGAAUGAUACUUGGAUUGUCUAUUUUGGGGGAUGGAAUGAUUGUACUUUAUGUAGAUGUGGAUGGACGCUUUUAAAAAUGCAUGUAUGGGAAGAUAGAUGUAUAUAGGUGUUGUGUAGUAAAAAGGGUAGACUGUCUAAAACCACCUAACGUGUAAACUAGGAUUGAGCAAAUAAUUUAAAAUGGUAUGGAAAAUGAGAGCCAAGCUUCUCACGGUCAGGGAAAGGAGUUAUAAUUAAGGAAAAGGGGAAGGCUAGAAUGAACUUGGUCACGUUGGAAUCAAAUUGGAGGUCAUCACCAUGAACUUGUAAUUUUUAAUAUGUAGAUGCAUAUGACAACAGACCGAGAUAUCUAUCUGCAGAGAAAGCCUAGAAGCCAUGACACUCAGUACCAAUGGGCACGCUAAUUGCCCAGAUCAUGGUUUCUGGUUACCGUUCUCUAACGGAAAUUACUAGGGUUCCUUGGAGAAAUGGCUGGUUCUAGGUCUGAGGCGGAGAAAAUGCAGGAUGGGCAUGCAGUGUCUUGUGCUGCCAGAAGUAAGGAAGUACUAAAACAGAAACGAUGGGGAUAUGUCAAAAGGACAUAGGAGCCUACUUGAAGGGGUACCUAAUGAUCAAAUCUGGGACAACUUGAACAACAAAAUGAAUAAUGCUAAUAAUAGAUUAUAACCCAUAGAAUAAAGUGAGAAUCCACAAACUAUACUUACAUAUACAAACAAAUGAGAGAGAAGAAAAGUAAAUAGAAUUCCACUAAUAAACAUAGAAAGAGUAAUGAAAUUAGAAAAUCACCAUUUGGGGGCACCUGGGUGGCUCAGUCGGGUAAGCAUCCAACUUUGGCUCAGGUCGUGAUCUCUCAGUCUGUGGGUUCGAGCCCCACGUUCGGGCUCUGUGCUGACAGCUCAGGGUCCAGAGCCUGUUUCAGAUUCUGUGUUUCCCUCUCUCUCUGACCCUCCCCCAUUCAUGCUCUGUCUUUCUCUGUCUCAAAAAUAAAUAAACAUUAAAAAAAAUUAAAAAAAAAAAAAAGAAAAUCACCAUUUGGCAAACACCACAGUAGUAAUUGUUUCAGACAUAAGUCAUUAAUAAAUGCUAACAUUAGUAAACAGAAGUAUGAGGAAUAGGAUAUUUACAUAAUGUCAAAGUAUCUUCCCAAAAGCUUAUGAUUAAUUCCAAUGGGAAAAAUAGUAAGCUUAUAAUAGAGAAACAUGACAAGCCCCAGCUUCAUUUAGUGAUUUAAUUUUACUUACUGUAAUGGUCCAAGUCACUAUCAUAUGUCUCUGGUUAGAACACACUCAGAUAGAUACAGCAUCACUCUGUGUUAUUUGUUCCAAAAAUAUAUAAACUGAAUUUAAAUCAUGAGCAAACAUCAGGCAAAUCCAAACUGAGGGCCAUUCUAUAAAAUAAUUGACCAGCACUCUUUAAAAAUAUCAAGAUCAUGAAAGGCAAAGAAAGACAAAGAGAAACCAUGCCAGAUUAAAGGAAACCAAGGAGACACAAUAACCAAAUGCAAAGUGCGAUCCUGGAUUAGGUCUUGAACCUGAAAGAAAGAAAGAAAGAAAGAAAGAAAGAAAGAAAAAGAAAGAAAGAAAGAAGAAAAGAAAGACAUUAGUGGAACAGUCGGUGAUAUUCAAAUAAGGUCUGUAGAUUAAUAACAGUAUUGUAGUAAACUUCCUGAUAUUGAUCUUUGUACAGAAGUUAUGUUGGAUGUUAACAUCUGGAGAACCUGGGUAAAGAAUAUACAGGAAGUCUUUGUACUAAACUUAUACUUGCACAUGAAAUCACUUCAAAAUGAAAAGUUUAACACUCUUUAAAUUACAUUUUAAAACUUGAAAAAAUCCUCAGCCUUUAAAAUGUUUCCACAGUCCCCACUUCUUUAAAAUCUUUCCUGAUCCCUUAGCUAUCACAGUUUCAUACUUAUGUUCUUGUCUAUAUCCUAAUAGUUUCUGUUAUGACUCAGAGGCCCGUAGACCAGCAGCCUGUCAGCUAAAUUGGGCUCCAAUCCUUUUAGGUUUGACUGGCACAAAAAUCUUCUCAUCCCUGAAAAUUUGAUUUGUCACAGCUCCCAACUACUCUUUAUUGUCUCAGACAUCAGGCUAGCUCUAUUCAUUUAUUCAUUUAGAUUCCAUUUUUUCUUUUUUCUUUUUUUUUUUUUUUAGUAGUAGUAGUUUAAACAUUUCUACCAAAAUCUUGAAGUUUUGUGUAACAAAUUAAGCAAAAAUAUAUUUUCAUAGAUAACUUGACUUCAGGCUGUUUGAAUAAUCACGUUUGCUGAUUCACUGGGUCUGAGUUAAUGUUCGCCUGACUUUUAUUACAUGAUGAAAAUAAAUGCUAUUUCAUUUUUGACUCAGAAAUAGCCAUUAGUCACCAAAUUCUGAACACUGCUCUUUGAGUUUAAUGGCAGUUUAGAUCAAUCGCCAAAUACAUGAAAAGGAGGAGGUUCAGAGAGAUUUUGCAUUUAUUACUCAUUUCUCAGAAACCUGAUGGAUUCUUGGUUUAGAGAUUACAUCAUCUCUUCCAGAGUCUUCCUCCACCCCAUAAUCCAAUCACCUGGGACGUUUUUAAAGUACUGAUGUUUAGAUGCUACUCUCAGAGAUUCAGAUUGAAUUCUUGUGCAGUAGGACAUAGAGCUUCUUUUUCUUUCUUUCUUUUUCUGGGUUUCCCAGGUGAUUCUAAUGUCUUGAGAACCACUUGUUCUCAACCACUGAUCUUGUUUUGAGAACUACUGAUCUUGUUUUGGGAACUACUGAUCUCCCAUGGUUGUGUUUGAGGGGAGCAAGGACCUGUUGUCCUAGGGAAAGGGUAUUCUAGAACUUUGGUAACUUGACAGAGUUUACCCCUUUCAAUACUCCUUCAUAUGUAGGGCAGCUCACUGAGAAGAAAGUAGACAUUAACAUGUCCUGGGGAGCUUGUUAAGCAUGCAGAUUCCAGGGUCACACCCUCACAUAUUCUGAUUCAGUGUUUACUGCACACCACACGAAUUAGCUGUUAGCUGCUCCAUUGAAAGAAGACCUAGAACUCUCUGGUUAUUUCUGAAUUGACUUGUUCUGACCCAUUCAUUUCUCCCACUACUUUGCUUCUUUUUAAUCCCACAAACUUCCAAAAGUACUGCUCAUCCUCCAGUUUUCAUCUUCACUUUUCCCAUUAUUAGACUUAACUUCUGGCAUUUUCUUCUUCUUGGCCCCUCAUUAACCAUCGUUAUGGCCUCCCCCUGUGAAUCUGCAUUAGUUUGUCUUGGGAAACUGCCCACACACGUAGGCCUGUUCUUCCCAGAGAUUUCUCUGCUUCCAAGUCACCUCUCCCACCUUCCAUAAGCUAGAUUUGCCCCUAUUUGAGUUUCGCUGUAUCUGCUGGUUAAAAAGCCACCUUAAAACUUGAUGGCUUAACACCACUACCAUAAUUCUAUAGGAUAGCUGGAUGUUUCUUCUAGUCUGGACCAGCUGGGCCAGAAUGGGACUCAUUCUCAUCUUUGAGACCUCACCUGGAAUGUCUCACGUGGGACAGCUUGAGGCCUGUCUCCACAUGAUCUCUCAUUCUCCACUAGGUCUCUGGGCUUCUCUGUAUGGUAGUGGAAGUCCUCCAUGGAAAGAGCAAGAAAGGGCAAGCCCCACUAAGCAAGUGUUUCUUCAAGCCUCUGCUUGCAUUAUCUCUGUUUGUGUCCCACAGACCAAAGUAAGUCACACGGCCAAGCCCAGAGUCAAUAUGGGAAGUGGCUACCUAAAGGCAUGAAUCACUGGUGCCCACUACUACAAAAGUAGACCACAACCUUUUUCCUAAUUCCAAUUAUUCAUUCUCCUGUCAUGUGCAAAAUAUACUCCCUCCCUCUGAGCACCCCUACAAAUCUCAUUUACCUGUAGCAUUAGGCUCCAAGGCCUGAGUCCUGUGAUUUCUAUCAAGUCCAAAUGAGGGUGAAUUCCUUGGCUGUGGUUCCUUUGGAUUCAGAAACCUGUAAGUGGAAGAGACAAAUUACAUGCUCUGCGAACACUCAACAAACAAUGAAAGAUAGGGCCAGGACAAUUGCAGUAAAUACUUCCCUUCAAAACGGGAAUUAAGGGAAGAUACACAGCAGGCACAGAAUUCAUAAGAAUUCUGGAAUCCCGCCAGGCACGUGUUGCCAGGUCUUUCUGUUCUGAGAGCAGGACCCAGUCCUGUCCCUGGGAGUCCCUUCCUGAUCCAUUAUUCCCCAUCGCUUUUGGUGUCUCCAUCCUGGUUCUUGGCUUUGCCUUCCUCUUUUGCUUAAGAAAUAGUCUGUGUUGGCUUCUGAGUAGCUUUCUGAGACAACUCUUACUAAACAAAACAAAAACAAAAACAAAAAAGAUUGGGGGCCCUCAAAGACCAUUUUGCAGUUUGUGAAAUUUUAGCUCUUUUACUCCAAGCUGGCUAUAUAUUUUGUUGUUGUAGUUUGUUUGCUUUUAAUUAAGAGUUUAUUUUUUUUUUUUUAGAAUUGUUUUGGGUUCACAGCAAAAUUGAGGGGAAAGUACAGAAAUUUCUCAUCAACCCUCUUCCUCUACACAUGCAUAGCCCUUCUGUUGUCAACAUCCUCCACCAGAGUAGUACAUGUGUUACUACUGAUGAACCUGCAUUGACACAUCAUAAUCGUCCAAGGUCCAUAGUUUACGUUACGGUUCAGUCUCAAUGUUCUACAUUCUCUGGUUUGGGGCAAAUGUAUAACGAUACAUACCAUCAUUAUAGGCUCAGACAGAGUAUUUUCAGCUCCCUGAAGAAUCUCUGUGUUUUGCCUAUUCAUCCCCACCAAACCCUGGCAACCACCGAUCUGUUUAUUGUCGUCUUAGAUUUUCCAGAAUGUAUCGUCUCUUUUUUCAGUACAACUCUCUUUAAAAUGCCGUACGUGUUCUAUUAUUGUCACUUCAGUUGACUACAUGCUCCAAAACCACAUCCAUAAAUUCUUUUUGAGACUGGCGUCUCUCUUCUUUGGGCAUGUCUGGCUGCUGUGAAGCAAUCCCACUAAGAUUGUUAGAAGUUCUUUUGUCUACCUGAGAUGUUCCCCUGGAAACCAUCUUGUAAAACCCGAAACUCAAAAUUCAAGAACAAAUAAGUUUCAAAACAAAACAAAAGAAUAGGAAGGGAUUGUUUCUGCAAGGGUAGCAACAUAGAAAAAGACCAGGAAUUUGCAAGGAACGGAUCCGGGACAUACAGUUCUCACUGGACACUGUAGAGAGAGAUAAGUUGAACCUGAUUAAAGGCACAGGACUGGGAAAACGGCCACAAUUUGGCAGCUGUUGUCCUAACGUUUAUUCGGUUUCCUGAAGUAUUUUUUUACGUAAGAUAUUGUGUGUUUUCAAGUUAUUGCAUGGUAUUUGUCAUAUAUUAUUUUAAAUGGCUCGAUGGUUCUCCAUCAAAUUAGUAUGUCAUCCUUUUCCAUUUCCCUGUAGCAUCUUAUUUGGGCAGUUUGGGUUUUCUGCUAUUAAAAUAGCUCUGCCGUCAUCAUUUUUCUACAUUUUUACCUUUUAAAAACAGUUUUUAAGUUUAUUUAUUUUGAGGAGGAGAGAACAUGAGCAGGGUAGAGGCAAAGAGAGAGGGGAGAGAGAGAACCCCAAGCGGGCUCCACACUGUCAACACAGAGCCCAAUUUGGGGCUCGAACUCAUGAACUGUGAGAUUGUGACCUGUGCCAAAAUCAAGUUAGAGGCUUAACCAACUGAGCCACCCAGGUGCCCCUAUACAUUUUUUACUUUUGAGUUAAUUGAUUGUGAUGCAUUUUCCAACCUUUUAGGAAUUGGACCACUGGGUAGCGGUAUAAAAACAUAUCUGAAGUGGCCAUUGUUUUCUAGAAGAAUUGUACCAGUUUAUUACACUGUCAUUAGCUUACUUGUUUCCCCGAAGACUUAUUAUCAUUUUUAUCGGUUUUCUUUUUUUUUUUUAGAAUUUAGCAGACAAAAUGGCAUCUCAUGUCUUUAAUUUCUAUUUCUUUAACUUCUAAGUAGACAACCGUCUUUCCUUCUGUUAAAUUACUCGAACUAAUCUGUGUGUGUGUGUGUUGUGUCCUCUAAUUGUAGAGUGUAAAAUUAACGUUAAGUUUGGCUGAAGACAAAAACAAAAAAAAUUUUGAACAAUCGAAAAUUUAACAGUGGCUUUUUUCUUACCCACAUGACAGAAGUCCGGGGGCAGACCAGUGCUGCCUGGCGCUCCAAGCUGUCAGGGACCGGGGCUCAGUAGAUCUUACUGCUCUGCAUUCCUCAGGAUGAGCUCUUACCACAUGAUUUGCAUUCCCGUUGGCAGGAAGGAGAUGGGGGUGGGGUGGGAUAAGCCACUUCCCUUGAAGGACAUUUUCUAGAAGGUGCACACCACUCCUGUGUAUAUCGCAUUGGUCAGCACUUCUAAGGAAAACAGAGGGACAAGAGCUAUCGUGUUGACCAGCAGCCUCUGCCACACACGGCAAAUGUCCACCUCCACCAUCUGGGCUGAGUGAGUUACAGCUCUGGGGGGCAGAGAUGGUGUAGUUCAGCAGGAAGAGGAAACGCGGGAAGAGUCCCAGGACUCAGGCUGGCCCAGAGAUGGCUGUGUGGGGGUGCGAAGAUGCCACGCGUGGGAAGUCGGGUUCUGUCUGGUCCCGGCCCCUUCCCAGGCUGAAGUCUUAGCCUUCUCUAAUGGACCUUUCAAAUGGACCCCAGAUUCUCAUCAUUUUUCAGGGUCCUGCUCACAUCUCAGCUCCUCCAGCAGCUUUCCCUAACCAGCCCAAGAACUUGGUACUCAUUUGAACCGAGACACCAAGACGGGUCUUGUUAUCAUCUCUAUAUGUGUAGUUGAUUCAAAGGGAUUACAAAUGUAUGAAGAGUAGGCAUAGCACCUUAUGUUUUUCAGUGGCCAGCACCCUCUACCUAUCUACCCUUCCACAUUUUCCUUAUCUCAGUUUAGGAAUCCCUACUCGCAAAUAUCCUGUUUUUAGGGAAUCAAGGUUCCUAAAUUUGGUGAACACAGUUUGCUCAAAAAUUUAUCCAGUGUCUAUUUACACAGUCGGCUUUCAUGUUCUUCUAGUUGGUAAACAAACUAUACAGCACUAGGAUGAGAACAUUUGGAACUUCAUCAUAUGAUGUUUUGUUUGGUUGUGUUGUGUUGAUUCCACAGAUCUGCUUGAGAGAUAGAGCAGAGUUAUCAAAGAAUAUAUUCCUAAAAAUCGCUGCAUGUGGCUUGAAGCUGUAUAUCAGGGAAAUGUUAAGUGUAUGAUAAAUUGGAGGAUGGUGUGUGGUAAUCAAGAUGUAACCGUCUGUUUCAUAAAAGGGGCAUAUGCACUCUUUUAGUCACAAAUCUGUAAUAUGUAUCGAGCACCUGCUACCUACAAGGCACUAUGUCACGUAACGUGGGGUCAGAUCUAUGGGAAACUAAGGAUGAAUCAGACCAGGAUUCUGCUCUCAAGAAGUUUUUCACUUUGUAGGUGAAACACACACACAAAACUGUAACUUUGUGCUUUGGCUUUUUUUCAUUUUGUUUUUUUGAGUGAGAAAGAAAGAAAGAAAGAAAAGAAAGAAAGAACGAGAAAGAGCGAGCGUGGGAGGGGCAGAGGGAGAGGGCGAAAGAAUCUUAAGCAGGCUCUAUGCAGCAUGGAGCCCAAUGUGGGACUCAAUCUCAUGACCAUGAGAUCAUGACCUGAGGGGAAAUCAAGAGUCAGACACUUAACCCACUGAGCCACCCAGGCGCCCCUACAUGUAACCUUUUAAUUAUCCCUUGACCUGUUGAAGUGUGGAAGCGACCCCAUGUACAGACAGAAAACCUGUAUCAAGCACCAACAGGCAAGAGUAGAGUGGCUCAAAGUAGCCCUUGACUCUGCCCUGGGCAUACCUGUCAGUCUGCGAUCAGUUACCUCAGAUGGGGCUCAAGAAUACUCCUGCCCCCUUUCUGGGUUCCUCUUCCAGAGUCUUAUUUUUUUUUUUUUUUUUGCUUUUUCCCCCCUCUGCCCUCCCUCUGGGCCCUUCUACUUUGGUUUCUGCUUGUACUGAGGCAUAGGCAUGGAAAAGCAUCUUUCCUGGUCUAGCUUCAGAGUGUAUCAUUCAUUCAUUCAUUCAUUCAGCAAUCAUCUGAUCAAAUAUUUUCUUAAAAAUCUUUAACUUCCUCUUGCCAAUAUGGACAAAUAGCAUUACCCCAGUGUGUUAUUGUGCUAAUAGAGAUUCUACCUUUCUUACCAAGAAUCAUCUACAUUAUCUGCUUUAAAAAAAUGUUUUUUUAAUGUUUAUUUUUGAGAGAGAGAGAGAGAGAGAGAGAGAGAGGCAGACUGCAGGCAGGGGAGGGACAGAGAGAGAGGGAGAGACAGAAUCAGAAGCAGGCUCCAAACUGUCAGCACAGAGCCCGACACAGGGCUUGAACCCACGAACUGUGAGAUCACGACCUGAACCGAAGUCAGAUGCUUAACCGGCUGAGCCACCCAGGUGCCCCUACAUUAUCUGCUUUUAGAUCCUACCUUGAUAUGAAACAGAGCUCUAAGGAGACAAAGUUUGGUUGGGGAGAACCCUUUCCUCCCAUGGGGGAAGCAAUGGGGUCAUAAGGAGGAGCAGAAAGUAAGGUAGGGAUAGAUGUCAAGAUCAAGAGGACAGUAUAAACCCAGGUAGGGUGGCAGGCAUCCUUGGGGUGGGGGCGGAGUUUGCAUGGGUGUAUAGGGCUGAAAUUCAGGAGGUGUUGAUAAUGUCUCUUGUUAGGUGCUACUCGUCACGUUAAUUAUUGUGUGUUUUGGCUCUUACCAUUUGAGAAGGGGUAGAAGUAAAAGGUAUGAAAGGUGGGAGAGGCUUGUUGAGGGCCUAGGCUAGGAAGCUGAAAGGCAGUGUGGAGCCAAGAACAAGCGUGGCCUUGGAAUCAGGUAAAAGGAGCACCCGAGUUCACAUUUCCUCUCUAUCAGGUAUUGACUGUGUGGGUUUGGGCAAACUACUGAUUUCUCAUGUGUAAAAUGAGGACAAUAGUAGUAACAUCAUACUUAAUACACAGGAAUGUCUUGCUUCUCCCCAGAAGUCACUAAACAUUUUAAGCAGACCGUGCUGUAAUAACGAACGGCUAAUGGCCUUCUGACUCAGGCUACACACUGCAACUGGACAAAACUCUAAAUGAAUGAAUUCUUAUUUUAUAGCUACACAAGUAUUCAAUAGAUCACUCAUCUGGAUUCAGUGAUCCACUUCUAGAAAGUUCUUGACGGCUCUUGGGUUGUCCGGCUGAGGCUGGAAGAAGGAGGAACCCCUGAAUUUCUGAGUCCAGGAAACCGCAGGGGAUGCAGGUGCUUGGGCAUUCCUCUUCAGCGGUUACCAACAAGAGAGGCCCCUCAGCCUAAAAAUACCUGCCAGGGAGCCGGGUGGGGAAGGGAAGAAACCGUGUGGGAGGCACUAUUGGAAGGGUUUCAGAAAAAAGACGACAGGAUGCGCAGGAAAUCCUGUUUUGCUUAGAGAUGUGGCCUAAGGCCAGUUCUUUCCCUCUCCCUUCAUCCAGGAAGAUAGAACUCGAAAUUAGGAGUCACCACCUUCCUCCUGCCCCCGUUCUCAGUCCUGUUCUUCUGCUCUGCCGCGGCACUCCUCCAGUGACAGGAACGGUGCAGGGAGAGGAGGGGCAAUGGGGACACCAGCAGGGUUCUUAGGUUCUCUUGUUCAGCCGCUCACUCACUGAGGUAUCUAGCACCCUCUGAUUCUGCUCUUAUAUCACAACCACGUUUGAGAAACCCCAUCCCACCCUCCUAUGUCACUCCCUCCAGAAACUGGGCUUCUGGGAGCCUUCUGAGCGAGGGGCCCACGGUUGAGUCUGUCCAGCAAAUUGAGGUUAUAUUUGCAUUUCUGGUGGGUGUCUUAGGCAUUUGCAGCUUACUGUGUCUAGAAACGCCUAGAUACUGCAGAGUGUCCAGGAGGUGAGGAAGGAGAAGGGAAAAACACAGGACAUAGGAAGAUAGGCACAUCCUCACUUAUGUCACCCACCAGAGGCAAGGCCUUUAGAAAUCAUCUCCCUGUGGAUUGCAGGUUAGUAUGUCAGCUCAUCAGCAGGUACGUCUUACUGUGCAACAGUCAGAAACCACGACCCCAAGUCCCUGGGAGUGGCCACUGUGUCCGGAAGAUUGAGGGAAGGGAGGGGAGAAGACAUGAGCAACUGGAACUUGCAGGAGAACAUCUUGCUGGCUUGCCGAUGGGGGCUUUAGAUCUUUGGCUUGAACGAAAUGGAUAUCGGGGUAGGUGCAGGCAGGGGAAGAUGAUGGACAGAGCACCCCAGAACAACCACCACUGGGAGCACUCAAAGCUCCAUCAAGGAGUACGUGGAUGUGGGUAAUUUCAGCAGAAUCGAUUUCCAGGUCCUGAUUUCCGUAUGUGCUUUUCCCUAAAACUGAUGUCCUUGGGGGUACAUUCGAGGUGUCAGGCUGAUUCUCUCCCCGCAACUCCCCUUUUGCAGAAGCCCCCAGGGGACCUCUUUCUCUCAUGCUGCAUCUUGCUAGGUGGAGACCCUCCAGUGCGCCAAAUAAAGGAUCAACUUGAAAUAUUGGUGUCCGAGUCUCUAGUACAUACUGGGGAUUGAUUUCAAGUAGGAGGGGGUGAAAGACUAAGAUUAUAGCUUCAAGUUAAAGUAAAUUAUAUGAGGUAUUUUCUUAAUCAUUUGCUCCAAUGCAUGGGAAAACAAUCUUCUUUCGCUUUUACGCAGAAGAUUAUUGUGUAUUGUGAGCUAAUAUGCAUUUUUUAUUUGGGUACAAGUCUCCUGCUUGCUUCAGCUUUUCUGUAUAUUUAGUGGCCCUGUUAAUAGCUUCUCUUCUUUUUGCUGGUAAUUUCCACGAAAUAUUGUCUUACUCUAGCAAUAAGCAAUAUUCAUCCAAAACACAAAAACUAAUCUUUAAAAAAAGACUAGUUGCCUUUUUUAUGCUUGAUGAUUAUUUAAAAACUGUAUAUGAUAGUUAUUUUAUUUUACCCAAUUAUUUACUAAUAUAAAUUGCAAUGACAAAUCGAUCUAUAGUAUUGAGUAACAUGUAGAUUCUUAUGGUGACAGGAAAUUUUAACUUUUUCAAUUUUGAAUUAAUAAUAAAUAUAACAAAUAAUCUAGGAAAUUUUAAUAUGUAAAAUUUUAACUUAUGUACAUAUUUUAUAACCAAGGAUUAUGGUAUGGUGACCAAUAUAAGAUUUUCAAGCUUAAAAGCUUAUCCUACUAAGAUAAAGUUGUGUGGGUCACAUAGUUGGAAAUACGAGUGCAAGGAGGCAUCAUAAAUGAUGGAAAAUUUAUGGCUGUUAAAAAGAGCUUGUUCAUGUGUCUUUUCAAUAGAUGAAGGUGGGUAUUCAAUACAUUAAACGAGUGAUUUAACAAUUUGAAAAGUCAAUGUGCCAGAAGCUAACAUAUUUCUUAAUAACUUAAACUUGCGAUACAAAUUUUAUAUGUGAUUUUUAAAAUGUCUGAGGAGGAUAGGGGCGCCUGGGUGGCUCAGUCGGUUAAGUGUCCUACUUCCGCUGAGGUCAUGAUCUCCCCGGUUCCUGAGUUUGAGACCCACAUUGGGCUCUGUGCUGACACCUCAGAGCCUGGAGCCUGCUUCAGAUUGUCUCUGUCUGUCUGUCUGUCUGUCUGUCUCUCUCUCUGCCCUCCCCUGCUCCUGCUCUGUCUCUCUCUCCCUUUCAGAAAUAAACAUUAAAAAAAAAUUUUUUUUAAAUAAUAAAUAAUGUCUGAGAAGGAUACAUAGUUUUUCCCAAAAUGUUAGGAGGUCCCAGAACAAAGCACUUUACAGCUCUCCGCCCUUGGUGGUGGGAGAUGAGCGCAGAAACGGAAGGUGUGGAGAGGGGCAGCCGGCCCCCUUCACGAUUUUGUCUGCAGGUGGGGCUGUGGUCCUCAUCACUGGUGGGUCUCCUCUGCUGAGCUGUUGGUGACCGGCCCCUAAGGGAGUGUGAAGCUAACGGACCCUGAGCUGGAACACGACCCUCCAGCGCGCUUGCUCAGAUGUGCGCAGGUGCUACCGGGGACCGAACUUGUGUACCCAACCGGGGUGUGCCGGGCCGUUCAUUCUGCACUGGCCACGGCUCGACAACAGAAACCAGUGGGCAGGGGGAUGCUGGCGACAGGAGGCAGCUGAUCAGACCCCUGGAUCUGCCCGAGGGACCGGGUGGGAGUCCUUGAUUAUGCUCUUAGCCUGAGACUCGGAGAACCGGAUGCAGGCUUCUCCGCCCCGGGGGGGCCCACCCUGUUGGUGGGGACCACUCGCCCCUCUCCCUGACCUCACCCACCAUCCUAGUGCUGCCUGCUCGGUCCCCUUCAUCCUCUUCUCCUGUCGUCCCCCAGACUCUUGCCUCUUGCUUAGGGUGUCUGCCUGCGAAGGCAGUUUGGGCAGAAAGUUCACCGGGUUCCCUGGGUCUAAGGAAGCACCCGUCCCUUUAGAAGUCAGUUUUCCAGGAGCUCCAGAAGUUGUUCUACACGGUGCGCCAGUUCUCACAGGGGCAGCUGUGUCGUGGCGCCUUGACUUGGGCUGGCCUGGCAGGAACGGGACAGGAGGGAGGGACGAUCUGAGAUGCUCCACUGGCAACAACAGGCAGGACGUGUGAAACGAAAGGAGUUCUCAGGAGGCCAUGGUGGUGUGGUCCCAAGCAGUGAAGGCCAAUGGGAGGGCAUGAAGGUGUCAGGUGGCAUCUUCAGUUUCAAGUUAAUAACUUCCAGUCUGUUCCUUUUUUUUUUUUUUAAGUUUAUUUAUUUAUUUUGAGAGAGAGAGAGCAUGUGAACUUGAGCAGGGGAGGGGCAGAGAGAGAGAGAGAGAGAGAGAGAGAGAGAAUAUCCCAAGCAGGCUCCAUGCUGUCAGCACAGAGCCCGCCUUGGGGCUCGAUUUCACAAACUGCUGGUUCAUGACCCUCCACUCAACCUACUGAGCCCCCCCAGAUGCCCCUCGGUCUGUUCUUUUCUCUUUUUUAAUUUUUUUAAAUGUUUAUUUAUUUCUGAGACAGAGACAGAGCACGAGUGGGGGAGGGGCAGAGAGAGAGGGAGACACAGAAUCAGAAGCAGGCUCCAAGCUGUCAGCACAGAGCCCGAUGCGGGGCUCAAACUCGCGAGCCGCGAGAUCAUGACCUGAGCCGAAGCUGGCCGCUCAACCGACUGAGCCAUCCAGGCACCCCUGUUCUUUUCUUAAUGAAAGCUAAUGUCACCAUUCUGAUGAGGGGGCAUCAAAGUGGGGUGUAGUCCUCAAGGUGAGAUGUGUGGUCCUGGAGGUCAAAACUACUUCCAUAAUGACAUUAAGAUUUUUUAAAACGUUGAUUCUCUCCUAAGUGUAUAGGGGAGGACCAUAAGGUCUCUCGGUGGAUCUGAAAAUCAAACUGACAAAGACAGGUGAACAGGAGAAAAGUAUACACGUUGUACUGAAUUGUUCCACAUACACGGGAGCCUUCGUAAGAGAAUGAAGACCCCACGAACUGGCCAGCACAGGCAGCUUUUAUAGUCUUUAGACAAAGAAACAAUACAUUUGUGAAGAUCUGUCAAAACAAAGAAGCUUGGGCUAGGGCUGGGAAUGGUGAGGGAGUAACUGGAAAGGGAAGAGUGAGUUUAACAAGGUUUAUUUGCGGAUUCCUCUGAUGCCGUCUCAGGGCUGACGGGAGUCUGUCUUCAGCGAAGGAGAACAUAUGUCCUGCCUUCAGGCAGAGAAGGGAGAGCUUUUUCUGCCUUUACUGCUCCUAAUUGUCUUCGGCUCAAAACAAUUUUUAUGUCAAAGAGGCACAUCCUGGGGUGAUAUAUUCUGGUUUCCUUCAAGAGUAUCACGGAAUUCUUUUAGGGAGAUGACAUCCUCACUCUGAUGACAAGUAGAAUGCGUGCUUCUGAAUUCUUAUGUUUUAAGGGUUUCCCAGUUUCAGUUUCUACUACAGUAAAUAUCAGUAAAUAUAAUCCAGUAGAUACAACAAAAGCUUUUGGGGGGCGCCUGGGUGGCGCAGUCGGUUAAGCGUCCGACUUCAGCCAGGUCACGAUCUCGCGGUCCGUGAGUUCGAGCCCCGCGUCGGGCUCUGGGCUGAUGGCUCAGAGCCUGGAGCCUGUUUCCGAUUCUGUGUCUCCCUCUCUCUCUGCCCCUCCCCCGUUCAUGCUCUGUCUCUCUCUGUCCCAAAAAUAAAUAAACGUUGAAAAAAAAAAAUUUAAAAAAAGCUUUUGGGGGGUUCGGUACUUUUUAAGAGUGCUGAAGAGUUCCUGAGACCAAAAAGUUUGGGAAUUGCUGCUUUAGAUCUUCUAUUUCUGCCCUUGUUCUGUAGGUCUGGAGAAGGAGGUCCCGAAGAGAGAAGGAGAUUCAUUGCUUGAGGUCGCACAGAGCUCAAGGCAGAGUUGGGAAGAAAACUCUGUACCCACCAUGUCACCCAGGUCACUUUGCCAAUUAACCACUGGCCACGGCACUGAAGCUCCCACGUUCCCUCACUUCCCUCCAGGUAUGUGGGGCAGGGGUUUAUUGGUCUCCUUUCCCUCCUGCCUCCUUGUCCACUACCCCUGGGGCGGAGGGGGUCUCUUAGUGUGAGAAUGCAGGAAAACAACGCUACAGGAGGCCACUCAUAUAAGCCAGGUUGGCAAAGCAGGGCUUGCUGUGCUCUCCUCUGAAGGGUGUUAGCUUUCUCAGACGGCGCCAGGAGGAGAUCAUUCUGGGACAGGAAGAUUGAAACAGCAGAGCAAGGCAGACUGGUCUGCAGCAGACUCCAUUUUGGUUGAAAGGUGACCAGACAGGAAUAGUCAAGAUCUACUUUGCCUCAUUCUAACUGUGACCCUAAUCUGCUGUGACUAAGGUUACUGUCUUUCUGUUGAUGGACUGCUCCUGUGGCCCGUUGAGACAUUGUGAGACAUAACAGUUGGGGUCCGUGUAAAAGGAGCCUUAGAACUAUCUAGUGCAUUUGCUCAUUCAUGCGGUGGUGUUUGUUGAGUACCUGCCGUGUGCCUCAUACAGGUCUGGGCUCUGGGGAUACAACGUGAUGAGACAGACAUAGGUCCUUCUCUCAUGGAGACCACCUCUUAGCAGGAUGUCCACUCCCUCCUUUUCAGAUGCCUGAGGCUCAGAGUGACUUGUCCAAAGUCAUACAGUCAGGUGAGAAAAGAAUUUGCUGAGUAUGUACCGCUGGUCCCCUGGAGGAUAGAGCAGAAAUAGACAACCCAGCCGGUGCCACAAACAAACUUGUUAGAGAGAUGAGACUUAUGCCCAAGAUAGUAUAAGGAUUUAGGCAGCACAGGCUAGGUGAGUAGACAGUAAUUAUUUAAUUGCUUUAGUUACUUAAGGGCAGUUUUUGUGCCAAAACAAAUUAGUCAGGGGGGUUGUUUUUGUGUUUGUUGUUUGUUUCUUUAAAGUUCAAUUUAUUAAGGUACACAUUUGAAACUCAAGUUCUUGAUUUUAAAUUCUGCUUAUAAGUAAAGAUUUGUACAUCUAGAAAAUCUGAAAAAUCAUUUUUGAAGGCCUUAGAUUAACAUGUUGUAUCACUUCCAAAUGCAGUUAAACUACUUUAAAUAUUUUAGACUGUGUGUACAAAUUUAAUACAUUUGAUUUCCUUUUGAAGUAACUCAAUUGCCUGAUUUAACAAAACAUCCUGAGUACUUGAAUCAGCUCUUAAAGAAUUAACGGGUCACAAUCUUAAAAGUGUGGUGGUUAAAAGAAAAGCUUAAGUUUUCUUAGAUGUUUCAAUGCUAUAUAAACUUAGUGAGGUUUCUACUUGAAGUCAAAAGUCUAAAUUAGUUAUCCACCUGACAUUCAGGAUGAAAUUUCAACAUUGAUCUCUUUACAACUGAAAUAGGCCAAAUUAUCCUAAGUUUUUCACAUACCUAAAAUACCAAACGUGCACAGAUUCCUAAGGCAAAAUAUUAAUGCUGUAGUUUUGAUACUCUUAAACAUUUCUAUACUUGGUUUUACCUCUUUCUCAAAUAAAAGGUAUCAGGGGACAAUUCAGAUCAUCCUGCCGUAUUCUCGGCGUUUGGGGGGUUGCUUUCUCAGCUUGCUGGAGAUUACACAGCAAGCAGAGAUUUUGGUCUAGAUACUGACUCAACCCUCACCUGUUGCCCCCAUUGUCAAGAACGCUCCUUGCGGUGUCCCCAGGCAUGGCUUUCCCUUUCAUGUUGGACAGUGAGUGAUCCUGCUGUUCAAAGAAACUUUCAGCUUGCCUUCAAUUUGAUUGGUCAUUUGGUUGAAUUUUACUUUUCUUUGGAUCUUAAGAUACGUAAAAGUAUUUUAUGUCAAACACAAAACAGCCUUGAAUUGGGAGAUUCCUGCGUUGUCUGAUCACCCCUAUUUUUAGAACCUCACAACUCCUAGGAGUAUUAAGAUGUCAAUGCGUGUUCUACUGUGGGUAGUGAGUCACUUCCAUCUGUGACAUGUGGACAGGCCUUCCUCGACUUCACGGUCACAUUUUAAGGGGCACCUGGGUGAUUUGGUCGGUUAAGUGUCCAACUUCAGGUCAGUCAUGAUCUCAGGGUUUGUGAGUUCAAGCCCCGCGUCAGGCUCUCUGUGUUUCCCUCUCUCUCUGUUUCUCCCUCUCUCUCUCUCUCUCUCUCUCUCUCUCUCUGUCUCUCUCUCUCUCUCUCUCUCUCAAAAAUAAACAUUUAAAAAAAAUGUUAAGUCACAUUUUAAGAUGAGGCCCUGGCCUUCGAGGAAUGUACGGUUUGGCAUUCUUUUCUCUUUCCAGAGCUCCUUAAAGAGGUACAUUUCCUCAGAUAUACCUCUUGAAAUCUCUCCUACACCUGCCACAGGACGGCCAGUGUACCUGCAAGGGGAGUCACAGAUAUUGGAGGAAUUGAAUAGGAAAUUAUGGGAAACUGUGGACUUGAGUGGAAAGUUGAGGUAGAAUUGAUUCAGUAGAGACACAGACUGAAGGUUAAUCUUUGAAGAAGUCGAGCAGCACAGAGGGUGUAAACUGACAGAAAGGUAAGAUCUAAGGAGGCAUCCUGUAGGUUGAUGAGAAUGAGAGAGUUCAGAGAAACAUGAUAAUAAGAAAUAAAUGGAGCGGGCGCUGACCGUAGCCAGCCUCUCUCUUACAUGUUGUGGAUGUGUUGACUAACUCACUUCCUUCUCCCGGCAUCCCUAGAGGGCAGAUGCCAUCAUUAUUGCCAUUUUUCCAGAAGGAGGAAAGAGCUGUACCAAAGAGCUUAAGUCACGUAUUCUCGGACUGUGUGUGGGAUGAUUGAAGAUCUUUCAGCAGACACUUCGGUGUGACCUGUGAAGAAGCAGCGGUGUCCCCCGAGCCCCCCUUCCCAGUCUUGCUGGCUGGGCCUGCCGUCAGAGUUCGGUUCUGUCUGCCUGGAAGCUAUCCUCUCAUGCGAGGUGCUCGCCGGAGUGCUUGAGGAUGGAGCAGGGCCAGGUCAAGCUUGCAAAACAGAUUUAAGGCGAGGGUUUUGUGCCUGCUUGGCGAUAGUGCUGCUUGUUUAGCAGAAUUUGAUCUCAGACUUGCUGCCAUGGUAACGGGCACCUGUCAGUGAGCUUGUGCAGGGCUGCCUUACCUCUGAUCUCCAGAGAUUGCUAUUGUCUCCCAGAAGCCGUGACAAUUGCCUAACUACCCCACAGCCGAGGGCAGCUUGAAACUGCCCCAGGUCACAUGGCUGCUAGGUGGCAGUGCUCACAUAAAAGAUGUCAGCAAGGCACUCAUCUUUCAUUUUUUAUUUACUUAUUAAAUAAAAGGUAUUAGCACGGCACACUGCCACUCUGUCAGAGGAGGUGCACACAGGCCAGCAGGGUCCUGGCGAGGGGGCAGGGCUUUUGGGCAAAGGGCAGAACUAGAGACAGUAGUUGUUUUAAGAGGAGAGAUUCCUUCGAGUCAGGAAAGGGGGUGAUGGCGUGAAGGCCUAGAAUUAGGCACCUCUAAUUCUAGAGGUGGAGGGAGGAGAAGCUUCUGCCUGGUGGCUCGCGUUUCCUUGGUGAAGCGGAGAUCCAGGACUCGGGUUGAAGUAAAGGGGGUGGGAUUGGUAGAGGGCUUAAGUUCAGCGGCGACUGGACACAGUGCCUUUUGUUCGCCUCGUUCACAGUCGUCUGGGAAGCAGGGCUAUCCGGGACCAGGAGGGUAGAGCUUCUCUGAAGAGAAGCCUAGGAGGCUGAGCACAGAUGGCCCUAGGGUCUAGGUAGAGCGUUUGUCCCGACCCCUGGCACCUAUUAAGAUGUCCAGGUCAUUCAAUAGGAGGCCAAGGAUCCCUGCCCGUCCUUCUCAUGAUCAGUGAGAAGAAGGACAGAGCACAGGCUGAGGGACCAAGUAGCCAGAGACACUUGCUCAGCAGGGCUCAGCGAGUCUGGAAGGGGAAGAUGACGGGGCAUUUUCCAGUCUCUUCCGAAAGUGCAUGGGAGUUUUGGAUGCGCGUCUUGAAUUUUAAGACUCCCUGAGGUCAAAGAGGAGGACAGUCAGUUCUGGAGGAGAUGAAAUGGCUUUGCCUUUUGUUUCUCUGCAAGAGCUGAUGAAUAAUUCAAGGCAAUGGUGAGGAAGUGGGCUCUGUAGGACAGGCCAGCUUGGAGCACAUUCAUCCUGGUGGGUUGCCGUGGGACUGAGCUCUGUCUCCAUCUUGUAUGCUCCUCAGCCUCCCUGGCCCUGAGCCCACAUGGCUCCCGUGGAGCCGUGCUCCCUUUCAGCCAAGGGGAUGAAUGUCUGCUACAGAAAGGCCCUGGAAGAACUUCAAAACUCAGGCAGAGACAAGCAGGCGUGAAGAGGCCAGCUGCCUUCCUCUCGGGCAUUUGCUUUGUACUGCGAGGACCAAUGAGGGGCACUGCUAAGGGACGGGGAGAGGUGAGAAAGUGGGUUGGCCGGCUGGGGAGUCCCACAGGCCUGCUGGACCUUGCUCCUGCCUGCCCAUGUGUGGCCACGGGCUUCUUUCUCUACUCAGCUGGAGACAGUCUGUCCGGGACGGACAAAAUGCACCUUUUAAGUAGCCCUUCCCCCCAGGACUCACCUUUGAUCUCAAUUUGCUGGUUCCCGUUUAAAGGAGUAGAUGUCAAGAGCCCUCCAAUGCAGCAGAUGCCCACCUCCAGCUGGAACUGAAUUUACACACCAGUAAAUCAGAGAGUUAAUAAUCAAACUGUCUGGAUUUUGCCUUCAAAUUCGGCCAUCAGUGUAUUCUUAUUGUAUCCUGUAGCACCUAAAAAUACCUUUGAGGCACUUUAAGUACACAAAACACCACACUGCUUGUCUUUGUUAAGAGUGGCCGUGCAAAGGUCCUGGCACCAACGCCUGAUGACCCAACGCAAGAGCCGGCUGCCGCCUUCCUCACCGCGUGGAAGACUUGAAGACUUGCCUAGGCAGCCACACGUGAAGGAAGAGAAAAGGGUGUCCGUGCAAAAUAAUGGCAUUUCUGGGUAUCAUGUUUUCUUUAUGUAGGUAGUCAGCUCUAUGAAAGUGUGUUUAGCGACUCAGUCAUAAACGAAUUUGAGAACUUUUGGCAGUCAAACCAAGGUCUUGUAUGGGACAAGGGAAUGGAUGUUGAUCUCAGGAAACCCCUCAUCAGUCUUCAGCAAUGUUCCCCAAAAUACAGAGGAAGGGAACCCCUGUGUGGGUGCAAAUUCUCCUCCAGGACUCAACCUCCUGACUUAGAGGCACUCCCUGCAGUCAGCGUGGUCUGACCCCUUUUUGGUCUCCCAGGAAAAAUUAGACUUCUUCAUUCGAACAGAAGUCCUCACUGUUUUGUAAAGUAGUGCUCCCCUCUCCAAAUAAAAACAUGGACCUGAGAGUAAAGGAAUGGUGUCAUGGUACUGUGAGUGUGUGUGUAUACUGGGACGUGGGGGAGGGGCCCUGGGGGAGUCACUAUAAACACAGAGCCAUGAGAAUCUGCUCAUCACUUAGCAAGCACAGAUCGAGUGCCCACAGAAUAGCUUGAUGUAGGAAUUAGAUGAAUUGAGACAAUAGUAACAAUGAUAAUAGAACACUUUCUAUGACUAAACUCUAUUCCAAGUGGCUAUGAUCUGAAUAUUUGUGCCCCCCCCCCAUCAAAUUCAUGUAUUGAAAUCAAACCCCUAAGGUGCUGGCAUUAAGAAGUGGGGCCAUUGGGAAAUGAUUCGGUUGCUAAAGCAGAGCCCUUAUAAAUGGGAUUAAUGCCUAUAAAAGACGCCAGAGAGUUCCCUUGUCCCUUCUGCCAUGUAAGGGCACAGUGAGAAGACAGCCAUCAGUGGGAAAGCUGACUCUCAGCAGACACAGAAUCUGCCAGAGCCAUAAUCUUGGGCUUCCCAGCAGCCAGAACUGUGAGAAACCCAUUUCUGUUGUCCUUAAGCCUCCCGGUUUGUGAUAUUUUUUAUUAUAGCAGGUGAAGAAAGUAAAGCACAAACCCUCCUAUGUUUUGGGAAAUGUGUAAUUUGGUGAAGAGGAACACUGUAUACCCAGGUACCAGAAAAC
rnacentral:lncRNA from 1 species